rnacentral:rRNA from 1 species
GAUAUUCAACUGAUAAGCGAGUGAGACAAGUUUCGAUGGAAACUGCAUCAAAAGGGUAGUUUCUCAGUCAAGUCCUUGUAUGAUGUGAUGGCCCAUAUUGAUGUUCCCGUAGAUAACAAAAAAUUGUGGAAGCUAAAAAUACCUCUAAAAGUGAAGACAUUCCUCUGGUUUUUAAUUAAAGGGGUCAGCUUAACUAGAGAUAACCUGACAUGAUGUAACUGGCAAGGUAGUAAGACACGUGUCUUUUGCCAACAUGACAAAUCUAUUAAACACUUAUUUUUUGAGUGUAAGUUUGCUCGUGCAGUAUGGGCCAUAGUUCAAGUAGCUUCAAAUCUAUACGCCCCACGUAGUGCACGUAACAUGUUCGGCAAUUGGUUACAGGACAUUGAUAAACUAUUUUCUGCACAUUUUCUUGUGGGGGCGGCUAUCUUAUGUUGGGCAUUGUGGCUUACCAGGAAUGAUGUUGUUUUCAAUAAUAAAUGUGUUUUCUUCUCCUAUGCAGGUUCUUCAUGCAUGUGCGCGAUGGCUCCGUACUUGGUCUAUCCUGCAGAAGUCGGACACCAGAGACUUUUUUAUGACGGUGUCUACAUGGAUGGAGCAUACGGCCAGGGAGGUUUUCUCCCUCCAUGGAUGGCGGUGUAA